CCUGACCUUAAGACAAAACUCCUGGUGUCUCCACAAAGCCGGAAUGGGUGGCUCAGCUUCCAGGAGUUAUUUCAAUUCGCCUCUGAAGAGCACAGCUGUGUGGAAACAGGAAGUCAAGAACCAAUGACCAUUUAUUUCACCAGCGGGACCACAGGCUUUCCUAAAAUGGCCCAGCACUCUCAGAGCAGCCUCGGCAUUGGGUUCACCCUCUGCGGAAGGUAUUGGCUGGACUUGAAGUCCUCAGAUAUCAUAUGGAAUAUGUCUGACACGGGCUGGGUCAAGGCCGCCAUUGGCAGUGUGUUUUCUUCCUGGCUGUGUGGAGCCUGUGUUUUUGUGCAUCGAAUGGCACAGUUUGACACUGACACCUUCCUAGACGUAAGUCAUGUCCUCCAGCUAGACAGAUCUUUAGAGUUCUUCCUUGUUUCCCAUAAAAUCACAAAGAAAUUAUUCCUUAGAAUACAAGGCUUCUUGGGCUUUUGGAAAUCAUUUCUUUAUACAAAGCAAAGUCUCAAGGGCCUCAGCUUUUGAAACGUAUUUGACAGAAUGGAGGGGGAACAACUGCAACACUCUGAGGCAGGAAAUCCAGACUUCUGCUUCAAAUAGCUCAGGAUUUGCUAGUGUUGCUAAAUCUGUAGCUACUUAAGAAACUGGUUCUAAAUAACAGAUUAGGAGUCUGAAGUCUAAACAAAUACUUCAUUUCUGAUUCAAUG
rnacentral:sRNA from 1 species